rnacentral:rRNA from 1 species
AUGAGCGCUCAGAGGGUUCCAACAAGGACUCAAUUAAAGAACCUGAGCCAUGGAUUUCGCUCACUUACGAACCAGCAAAACCUGGAAUUUGAAACAGAAGUUAGGGUGCUUGAUGUACAAGGUUAUGAUCUUAUUUUAGGCAUUGACUGGUUGUCAAGUUUUGGUCAAGCCGGGAGUGAUGUUGCAAGCAGGUACUAUGCUGAGAUGAUGGCAAAUGAGGGCAGGCCCAUCAUGGAUUUCACAAUGAGCACACAAGAUUAUGCAAUGUCAUUGUGUCCUGGAGGGCCGACAGGCAGCAAGCGUACUAACAGAUGCGAGGUGUUACGGGAGAUGCUUUCACUGCCACUGGAAGUGCGCCUGAAGAAAUGGUUUACUGAGGUGUCACAAGUGAACCGAUUUGAUGCUCUGAUGCAUCUUGCUCCAGACUGUUCGGAGGAAGACCUUCUGAAAAUUCUUCUAGUGUAUGCAGAUUUGGUGCGUGGUUUAUGGGUCUGCAAAAGCUCUUUGCUGUAUGAUGAUGGACAUGCUUCCAAAAGGGAUAGAAUUCUGCUCGGAUUUACAAAAGGGGAGUCCAUACCUGUGAAAUAUGUAGACAGACUGAUCAGAGAUGAGCGAACGAGGAACAUGAUAUUGAAUCCACUGGGUAAAAGAAGGGAGAAGCUUAAUGAUUACAAGUUUAUAGUACCAGCAGAUUCAUCCUUCAUAAGACGUUAUUCCCAUAUAGUUAAGGAGCAGGAAAAUGCUUGGUCAGUCCGCCUAAGAGCCUGA